CAAAAGCUUGGUCCUGACUUUACUGUCAGCUUUGAUUAAAUUUAUACAUGCAAGUCUCUGCGACCCUGUGAGAAUGCCCUACCUACCCCCCGCCCGGGGUAUAGGAGCCGGUAUCAGGCACAACCCUCGGUUGGCCCACAACACCUUGUUAAGCCACACCCCCAAGGGAAUCCAGCAGUAAUAAACAUUAAGCUAUAAGUGCAAGCUUGACUUAGUUAAUAUCAAGUAGGGCCGGUUAACUUCGUGCCAGCCACCGCGGUUAUACGAGGGACCCAAGUUGACAGAAACCGGCGUAAAGAGUGGUUAAUAUAAUAUAAACUAAAGCAAUACACCCUCAAAGCUGUUAUAAGCUCCCGAGGGCAGGAGUAGCUUUCACGAAAGUGGCUUUAAUCAAUAUGAAUCCACGAGAACUAGGGAACAAACUGGGAUUAGAUACCCCACUAUGCCUAGACGUAAACAGAAGUGACCCCCCACCUCGUCAUUCGCCCGGGUACAACGAGCCCAAGCUUAAAACCCAAAGGACUUGGCGGUGCUUUAGACCCCCCUAGAGGAGCCUGUUCUAGAAUCGAUUCUCCCCGUUCAACCUCACCCCCCCUUGUUCUCCCCGCCUAUAUACCGCCGUCGUCAGCUUACCCUGUGAAGGAAGAGAAGUAAGCAGAAUUGGCACAGCCCAAAAAGUCAGGUCGAGGUGUAGCGUAUGGAGGGGAAAGAAAUGGGCUACAUUUGCUGAGCCAGCAAAUACGGAUUUUGCACUGAAAUUAGAGCACAUGAAGGAGGAUUUAGUAGUAAGGGGGGAGUAGAGCGUCCCCCUGAACCCGGCCCUGAAGCGCGCACACACCGCCCGUCACUCUCCCCGAACGACCAAUAAUCAUAAUUAAUAUAACACCAAAUACUAAGGGGAGGUAAGUCGUAACAUGGUAAGUGUACCGGAAGGUGUACUUGGACAAAACCC
rnacentral:ncRNA from 1 species